GAGUUUGAUCAUGGCUCAGGAUGAACGCUAGCGGCAGGCUUAACACAUGCAAGUCGAGGGGUAUUCUAGCAAUAGGAGAGACCGGCGCACGGGUGCGUAACGCGUAUGCAAUCUACCUUUCACAGAGGGAUAGCCCAGAGAAAUUUGGAUUAAUACCUCAUAGUAUUAUGGAAUGGCAUCAUUUUAUAAUUAAAGUCACAACGGUGAAAGAUGAGCAUGCGUCCCAUUAGCUAGUUGGUAAGGUAACGGCUUACCAAGGCGACGAUGGGUAGGGGUCCUGAGAGGGAGAUCCCCCACACUGGUACUGAGACACGGACCAGACUCCUACGGGAGGCAGCAGUGAGGAAUAUUGGACAAUGGGCGCAAGCCUGAUCCAGCCAUGCCGCGUGCAGGAUGACGGUCCUAUGGAUUGUAAACUGCUUUUGCACAGGAAGAAACACCCCCUCGUGAGGGGGCUUGACGGUACUGUGAGAAUAAGGAUCGGCUAACUCCGUGCCAGCAGCCGCGGUAAUACGGAGGAUCCAAGCGUUAUCCGGAAUCAUUGGGUUUAAAGGGUCCGUAGGCGGUUUAGUAAGUCAGUGGUGAAAGCCCAUCGCUCAACGGUGGAACGGCCAUUGAUACUGCUAGACUUGAAUUAUUAGGAAAGUACUAGAAUAUGUAGUGUAGCGGUGAAAUGCUUAGAGAUACAUGGAAUACCAUUGCGAAAGGCAGUACUACUAUAUAU
rnacentral:rRNA from 1 species